GUGCUCACUUCAGCAGUGCGUAUACUAAAAUUGGAACAGUACAGGGAAGAUUAGCAUGGCCUCUGCACAAGGAUGACACGCAAACUCGUGAAGCAUUAAAAAAUAAA